UUCCCCCUUAGCAGCAAGGAGUUCUUAUAGGGAAACUCCCUUCUUUGACUGUCUUUUAGUAACAGUAAUAACAGUUCUUCUGGAAUAAAAAGAGAAGACAAUUGAGCUUUUUUGGAGUUCUAGCUUUUCUGUUGCUACUCAACCUGAUCCUCUUUCCAGAAGGAAUAAAAGAACGUUCAAAGAAGGGGUCAGAAAAGAGAAACAAGACAGAAAAUGCAGUUUCUGCCUAAGAGCUGGCCUUGAACACACAUGAACAGACUCCUGGCUGGGAGAAAGAAGCUGCACUCGGCUGAUGCCUGCGAUUCCAGGUGGAAAAAGAGAGGAAAAGGGCCUCAGAUUCUGGAUUCCAAAAAACUGCACUGGAGAAGCUUGUUUUGGAAAGCUGAAAAUAUUAUUGUACACACUGCUUCGGAGGCCCACGGUGUACCAUAUAUACAAGAGAAGGUGCUACAGGGUUAUUGCAAAGGAAAGAGACAUGAUGUAAGUGACCACUGGAGAUGGCUGGAGAGAGUUAAUGAAUGUUCUGAAGUGGAGGAUCAAGAUUAAGACAUUUUGGGAGACAUUGUCCUGCUUGGUCACUAAGAACGAUUGGAUGUUGUGAUGCAGGCAGUGGAGCAUACUCUUCAAGCUAAUGCUAAAGUAUGCAGAAUGAGACAUCUGGGAAAGGGAUCCUCCUUGCACCUAUGAACUGGACAGUAACUUCUUUAAAGUUGCAGCUGAUUUGAAGACUCUGGACUUUCCCAGAAGACACACUGGUCUACAGGGCAGCUACAGCUUUUGAUCUUACUCUCUUCAAAAAGAUAAGGCUGCACUCCAAAGACAGGCCUCCUCCUUUGCUAAAAGCUCUCUUUGUGUGCUCAAAUUGAAGAAUGAGAAUGUACAAGAUGGAAGAUCAGCAUGGAGGACAUCUUUUGCAGCGCUGAAUCAGAGGUGGGAGAUGUACUCUACCCGAGAAAAGUUUCUCUCAUGGAGGACAGAAGUGUUGGUGAAUGUAGGGUGUGUUUGAGAUUUUAAAGGGGAGAUGGGCUAUCUGUUGCUGUGUGUAAAACUGGAGGAAGAAAAUAUGUCCCAGCUCAGACUAUGCUCAAUAGAGGGAGAGACCAGUUCCCAGUUCCCAGCUAGGUCCAGCCUAUUAUUUCCAUUUAUUAAUUAGGUGAAUAAUAUCCUAUUAUUAGGUCCAGCAGAAUUAUUUAGGCUGGCACCCAGUGCAGGAUAUUAGAGAGCAGUUAAAUCCUCUCAGAGAGCUUCGGUAAAAGGCAAUCUAUAAAAACAAAUCUUACAUUUGGUCAUCAUUAAUACGCUGGAAAAUAAAUGAAGGUAUAACUAUGCUCUGCAAUUUUUAUUUCAUUUAUGAAGACUGUGCCACAUGGCAUACAUGCUCUGUCUGUGCUGUUAAGCACAUGAUGUGAGAAAUGGUGGUGUGAGGACUUAGAAUGGAAGAAGAAAGACAUAGUCCAUGCUGAAGCAAAGCAGAAAAUAUUUUAGCUUUAUUUUAUGAAUUCAUAGAUUUCUUAGAGGUCUGCAUGGAGCUUUCAUAGAGGUUGAUUUAGAGAUCAGGCCUAGUGACAAGUCCCAGGUUAAUUCUGUAGCAGCUGCCAAAUCCCUCAGUAAGGCACACUGUACAACAAUGGCUACUCUAGUCUCUAAAGAAAUAUUUUAGUAAUGUUUCUGGAGUGGCUAGUGUAGUGUACAGUGAAAAUGCCUGUGCCCCUGCCAGUAUGGAGCCAAACAAGACUUACCUAAGCCUGGGUUACCCUAGAACUGAUCUUCUUACCAAACUCCCAAAUAAAAUGCAAAAUAUUACAAAUUCCUCUUUCCUUACUUUUUAAAAAUUCAAUGAAAUUUUUAGAAGAGAGGGGAAAAUUAUAAGUGAAGGGAAAAUGUUGCAUGAUUCCUUAGCUAGACACCUGGAAAUCAGUCAGCCCUUGAGACAAUCUUGGAAUAGAUAUGUGAUUCCUUGAUCUUCUUUAUCAACAAG
ensembl:lncRNA